AGUGAACGCUGGCGGUGGGCCUAACACAUGCAAGUCGAACGGCAGCACAAUAAGAGCGUGCUCUUACGGGUGGCGAGUGACGGGCGAGUAAGGAAUACAUCAGCAUCUACUUUUUCGGGGGUGACAACGUGGGGACACUUACGCUAAUACCGCAUACGACCUACGGCUGAAAUCAGUAGAUCUUGACACCUUGCCCGUCUGAUUGAGCCCGUGCCGGAUUAGCUAGUUGGCGAGGUAACGGCUCACCAAGGCGACGAUCCGUAGCUGGUCUGAGAGGAUGAUCAGCCACACUGGAACUGAGACACGGUCCAGACUCCUACGGGAGGCAGCAGUGGGGAAUAUUCGACAAUGGGCGAAAGCCUGAUGCAGCCAUACCGCGUGAGUGAAGAAGGUCUUCGGGUCGUAAAGCUCUGUUGUUGGGAAAGAACAGAAGUAGAUGUAACUAUGGACGUCUUGACGGUACCCAAAGAGUAAGCAACGGCUAACUUCGUG
rnacentral:rRNA from 1 species